AUACUUACCUGGACGGGGUCGAUGGAUGAUCAACAAGAUCUAUGGCCUAGGCUAGUGUCCUCCAUUGCACUUAGGAGGGGUUCUCGCCUAAGGUCUCCCCAAGUGGGACAGCCUACGUCAUAAUUUCUAGAAGUGGGGACCUGCGUUCGCGCAGCCCCUGU